rnacentral:rRNA from 1 species
UACGAAGGGGGCUAGCGUUGUUCGGAAUUACUGGGCGUAAAGCGCGCGCAGGCGGUCCUUUAAGUCAGGGGUGAAAGCCCAGAGCUCAACUCUGGAACUGCCUUUGAAACUAGAGGACUUGGGUACGGGAGGGGUGAGUGGAAUUCCGAGUGUAGAGGUGAAAUUCGUAGAUAUUCGGAAGAACACCAGUGGCGAAGGCGGCUCACUGGCCCGUUACCGACGCUCAGGCGCGACAGCGUGGGGAGCAAACAGG